rnacentral:rRNA from 1 species
AGCGGAGGAAAGAACCAACAGGGAUUGCCCCAGUAGCGGCGAGUGAAGCGGCAAGAGCUCAGAUUUGAAAUCGUGUUUCGGCACGAGUUGUAGAGUGUAGGCGGGAGUCUCUGUGGAGCGCGGUGUCCAAGUCCCUUGGAACAGGGUGCCUGAGAGGGUGAGAGCCCCGUAGGGUGCUGCGCGAAGCUUUUGAGGCCCUGCUGACGAGUCGAGUUGUUUGGGAAUGCAGCUCCAAGCGGGUGGUAAAUUCCAUCUAAGGCUAAAUAUUGGCGAGAGACCGAUAGCGAACAAGUACUGUGAAGGAAAGAUGAAAAGCACUUUGAAAAGAGAGUGAAACAGCACGUGAAAUUGUUGAAAGGGAAGGGUAUUGGGCUCGACAUGGGGGGUGCGCACCGCUGUCUCUUGUAGGCGGCGCUCUGGGCGCCCUCUGGGCCAGCAUCGGUUCCUGCUGCGGGAGAAGGGGCUCCGGAAAGUGGCUCUUCGGAGUGUUAUAGCCGGGGCCAGAUGCCGCGUGUGGGGACCGAGGACUGCGGCUUCUGUCUCGGAUGCUGGCAUAACGGCGCAAUACCGCCCGUCUUGAAACACGGACCUCCUGUGUGAAGGGAAUCCGCUA